GUGUGUGUGUGUGUGAGACUUCCCUGGAUGUGUGAAAUUUGACUUCCCAGGAUUAGCCAACCAUUUAUAUUGAAAAUUAUGACACAGGUGGAAAAAGACAGGGCAGACUAUAUUUCCUUUUCCUGCAGUCACUUUUUAUCAGCAAGCAAAGGUAGGCAGGGUUGGUAGAAUGUGUGAGCAUCAUGAUGUGCAAUAAAAACAGUUAAAUUCGUUUUGUGUAAAAGUUUCCACUAUUCUUGUAAGAAUGAAAUACACAUGAAUGUAUAAGCUAUGAAAUCCAAAUUGUGUAAUUUUGGUGAUUCUAUAUACAAAUUAGAUGCUCUUAUAUUUGCAUUUAAGCCUGGCAUAGUACAAUAUAAAAAUGAAUGGUAAAAUUACGCUAAUUAUUUAAAAUUUUAACCUUUCUCUACUCAGAAUGACAAAGCGAGUAAAAAUCACCAUAGGAAGUCAAGAAAAAGACACCGACAGAAGCAAGAGGAAACCCUUUAAGGGAACUUCUUCUUGCUUUUUGAACUAGGGACUUCAUAUAUUUCUUUUGCAUUGGGCCCCACAAAUAAUAGGCCAAAAUAAUGCUAUGUUGCUUCCAAGACUAGAUUAUAAAAAUAAUACUCUGGCAUCCACCUCUUUCCCCCUCCUCCCACCACCAUUCUCCACCUACCAUCUCUUUCUUAGUGGUUGGGGGAAGGGAGGGAAUUUAAGCCAUUUUGUCAAGACACUUUGGCCAACAACCACCAAGAGCCUGAGUAUUGCCAGCGGACGCAUGAGUGAGCUUGCAAGUGGACCUUCCCCCUGCUGAGCCUUGAGAGAACUGCAGCUCUGGCUGACAUCUUGAUUGCAGUUGUAGGAGGAACCCUAAAUCAGUAGCACACAGCUAAGCCACACCCAGAUUCCCGACCCACAGAAACUCUGAAGUUUAAGCAUUGUUGUUUUAAGCUGCUAAAUUGUAGGAUGAUUUGUAAUGCAGCAAUAGAAAAGGAAUAGAAAAUUGAGAUGCAGUGGAAUGAGAGCUUUCUCCCAAGGACUGAAGAAGAGUCCUCUGAUCUAAAUCUUUUAGGAUGAGCAUUUCGUGAUGGAGGAAGUGGCAUCACAGGUAGAAGAUGCUGUGUAAUCUAGGCCAGGACAAUAUUUCCCAAACCACUUUCUUACAGGACCCCACCAUAAUCUUAAAAAUUAUUUGAAGACCCCAAAGGGCUUUUAUUUAUGCAUUCUAUACAUAUUGAUAUUUAUCAUAUUAGAAAAUGCAACUGAGGGAUUUAAAAUUUGUACUUAUUGAUUGAUUUAGAAACAAUAACAUACCCAUUGCAUGUUGAUAUAGAUAACAUUUUUAUAAAAAUGAAUAUGUUUUCUAAAAGUAAAUUCAGUGAGAAGAAUGGCAGUGUGUAUAUUUUUUAAAACCCCUUUACUGCUUGGCUUGAUACAACAAAGCUGAAUUCUAUACCUGCUUCUGCAUUGAAUCUGUUGAAGAACACAUAUCAAGUCGCUUCUGAAAACCUCCACUGUGCAUUUGUGUAAGAAUGAGAAUAAAAAAGGCAAAUAAUGUCUUAGUCCCUGGACCACAUAUUGAGAUAAACUGAUCUAGGUCAUGGAGAUGAGAGAGUCCAGAACACAUAUUGACUAAACCACAUUGUAGAUGGAAAAAUAAAGUUAUUCUCAGAAGGCUUGCAUAUCAUACUCAACAGCUUAUUCAGUAGAGGAUUUGGCAGACAUUAUUUGCUGCCUAUCCAAAAGCCAUUUCUGCUCCCUUUCUUCCUUACUAGAGAAUCCUUGAAUCUGUUCAGAUAUUAGAAGGUCAUGGGUUGAGGGGAAGUAUGUUGAUUGGUGUUCCCUUUCCCAUGAUUGCUAUAAGCACAUAUAUGUGACACAACCAUGGUGGUGAAAAGAAAUCAGCUGUGGUUGGUGGUGAUAGCAAAGUGUAAACUCAUCGAUACAGAGGUUUACUCCUUUCUGCCUUUGGAUAUUGUGCUGCUUGAGCUUGCUGUAGCCUUCCUGUUUCAAUGCUGAGAAAGCCAAAGGAAUCUGAGCUGACCGAGAGCCCGCAUGUUGUUGACAAGCCACAGAGCUGCCCAACCUCUUUUAUUGUUGAGUUAUUUUGAUUCAGAGAAUUGUUGAAGAUUCUGAAAUUGUGAACUGUCUACAAAGAGUGGACUGAUCACUGUGGGCUGGACUUUGAGGCAGCAGCGAGGUGAUUAUUAAGAUAGUCAAGUUAAAGGCACUAUGGGUCUGAACUACAAUGGUGUCAAUAGAAACAAAAGGAAUACAGUAAAUGUGAAAGAACUGUGGAGAUAAAUUUUUAGGACUUAGCAGCUGAGUAGAUGGACACUGGCAUGCACGGAAAGGAGAAUGGAAGGCAAGCAUCAGCAAUGGCAUGGUUAAUUGCUCCCCUGCAUGAUUAGAAGAAUAGAACAGAAAUACUGCAGGUUGGGUGGGGCGGGGAGAUGAUGGGUUAAAUUGGGACAUACAGAGUCAAGAAAGAGAUACUUAAAAUAGAGUGCAUGUGGUUGGUGCUUACAUAAAUGUUUGCUGUGAUCUGGGACAGAAUUGAUCUGAUAGUCAUAGGGUUUGUUUCCUCAUCUCCUUCACAUUUUUACUAAAAUAUUGCCUCCUUAGGAAAGCUUUCCUUGGUCAUCCUAUCUGAAAUUGCAAUAUUCACGACCCACUUCCUUAACAGUCUUGUCCAAUAUAUCCUAAAAAGUCCUGUGUCGCUUCUACACUAAUUUUUUACCUGAACAUUUAUCUAUAUUAAACUACAUAUAUGCUUAUUUAUCAUGUUUUCCUAAUAGAAGGUAAGUUCAGUAAUGGAACUUUUUAUCUGUUUUGCUCACUUUGCAGCUCCAGUGCCUGGGACAAUGCCUGACACUUAGCAGACAGUCAGUGAAUAUGUGUUAUACGAAUGAAUGAAUUCAGAGCUGCAAAAAUAUUGUCUAUAAUAUGCCUAAAGAUAAAAAUGGAAGCCUCGGGACUAGAUAAAUGCAUUUUUACUGAAUGCUGAAUUCACAAAGAUAAUACCUGAGAUUUAUUAAGCACCACGUAAUGUCUUAAAAAUUUUAUAUACAUUUUAGGAUUUAACUCUUAUAAAAAUCCUGUGGGUAAAUACUGUUGUCUCUCCCACUUUACAGGUAGAGAGGCUGAGGUUCAGAGAGAUUAGGUAACUCAACUAAGGUCAAAAAGUCAGUCAGGGAGCUGGGCCUUUAUAUGAAACACCAAAAUAAGCUCUUGUGUAGAACCCUUGAGAGAGAUUUUACUCUAAUGGCUGCAAUUUUAAACUGUGUUCAGCUGUGGUAUGUAGUUUUCCGAGGAAAAUGACCCACAGUCCUUCUUGCUUUCUGGCUUUGUAAAAGGUAGAGAUGACCGCUUAAAGGUUCAAGGAAAAUAAUUCCUGACUUUGAAAUCAGAAGAUCAUUCAGAUAAUAUACUUACUUAUAAACAUCCUCUCUAAUGUCUGAAUAAAGCAAGAGUAAAAGAUUGAUCAAACAGCAACAAACACUUUAACAGUUAAAAAUACAAUUAAUGGGUCUGUUGGAAAGACACUUUUAGCCCCAUUGGUUUUCUACCUGAAACCAGAGUGAAGGGACCUGAAGGCUCUCAUAAGAUAUAUAAGACUAGCCAGUACAGGAAAGAUGAUGCUUUUCUUGAAGUCAUAUAUUGUCUAAGUUGAAGUUACAUGACUUAGAAGGUCAGACGUGUCAUCUUUUCCCUUAACGCCUCAGAGAUUCUCUUCACCAAGAAAAUGACUACACGCUUAUUUCAUUUAAAACAGACUCAGCCUAGGGAUGGUUUUCCUCCUUCUAUAGAAAAGCAGGCUAUUAAUGAAGAUAAGUACCCUUUUGGCUUUGCAACACGUUUUUAACAUUUUACUCAUGGACAUGAGAUGGGAAAACAAGAUGAAAAUGAUUCUCUUAUUGGGCAUUCAAUUAAAAAAUGUCAUGACUUUGCCAUUAGUUUGUAUAAAUCCUAGAAAUGAGUUUCAACGAGAGUGUGUUAUUAUGUGGGGAAAGAGACAGAAGUGUAUAACCUUGGGCAGAUCGUUUAACUUCUCUCUGCUUUACAUUUACAAGCAGUAAUACAAAGAGACAGGAUUAUAUGAUCUCCAAGGUCCCAUCCAGCCCAUUUAACACAGUAUGAUUAUUUGAGAGGCAAUUUAGUGAGGGAGUGAGAAGCCUGGGCUCUGGAGCCAGAAUGCCUAUGUUCAGAUCUUGGCCCCCUUCAAUUAUCAGCCAUAGGAUACGGUAUAAGGAAUGUACCUCCUAACAGUUUCUCCCCAUUUCCUUACUAGCAAAAUCAGGAUAGGAACACUUACGGUCCUUUUGAGUAGCAAACAAAGUCUUCUUUGUGAACAAUUGCGGUUUAUUUUAUAUUAUAAAUAAACCUGUUCUUUUUUUCUCUAACAACAACAAAAUAACUUUCCUAAGAUUCAGGAUGGUAUGGUUUUUCUUGGUUUAAGCUCUUUAUUUAAUACCUAUACUAGUAUUCAAAGUAUAAAAAUAGAUUAAAGCACUAAUUUUGUUUUUACAAACCUAAACAAUUGGUUUGAUGGUGUUAGUACCCCUCACCUCAAGCCCCUAGUAGAAUAAGUGCUAACAUUCAAGGCCUAUUUAAAUGGCUGCUUUGGAGUCAGAUAAAGAAUUUCUGUGAUGAGCAAAGACACUAUCAUACAGGUAAUCAAUAACAACAGAACAAAUACGUUCCUCCAAAUCAGUAUAAAUAAUAAAUGUUUAAGAUAUAGGCAAAGAUAAAUACUUUUGAGAUAAGCUUCUUUAAAUAAGCAAUUCAAAGACAACUGAGACUAAUUAUAGUUAUUAUGUAUAUUCCUAGUAACUUCAUACAAUAGAUGUUCAAAUUCCCUUUAUAUGAAUAAGAACCUGGCGACUCAGGAAGGUUAAGAAAUUUGCAUAAGGCCACACAGCAGUAAGUGGACACACCAAAAUUUAAGCCAAGCAAACUGACUUUAGCAUCUCAGCUCUUAAUUAGACUGCUUUUAGCACAAAAAAAACAGUUUGGAUUUUUUUUUUUUUUUUUACACAAAACCUGUGCUCUCUCAAAAUACCAAGCUGCCUCAUUAGAUAAAUCUCUCCAUACAUCCAUCUGUUCGGCCCUCCAUCCAUCAAUCCAUCCAAACAUAUUUUUCCCUAUUAAACAUGACCAGCAGGGCUGGAGCUCUUGGUUCAUGGUCAAUGAAUAAAGAUAGGCAGAUUUUUACAUUUAGAUUUUGAUAUAGUGUGAUCAUCCCACACCUAUGAUUUGGCUACAACUCAGUCACAAAUGGACCAUCUACCCUGGUAAUAGGGCCUUUUGUUAGUGAGAAUUCCCUAGUUAGUUUUUACUAACUAAAGAGGUUUGCACCUCUUUCUCCUUAAAAAAAAUCCUUUUUUUAUAAACAUGAUUUUGAGUAUCAAGAAAAAAAUAAAAUUUAAUGAGUAUGUUUUUCAUUUUUCACAAUAAAUCUUAGAAUUCCAGUUAAAAUAACAAUCUCAAGUACAGUGUUAAGUAUAAUUCCUAAAAUUUAAAGUUAGUUUAUGACAAGUAGUCAAAGAUUUAGCUGAAAAAUAUAUUCAUUCCCUUCCCUUCCACUCUCCCAUCACUCCUCCAUGGGGAUAAAAAGAAUCACUGAUAUGUUGCACAUUGUAGGAACAAAAAUGGAUUUACCUUUUUUGUCUUCUUUUCCUUUUACUAAUCUCUACCUUGGUAGGUCUUAUGUGAAAAAUCAAUUUCUGCUUUAUUCUUGUAAGCUUGGUUUUAUCUUUCUAAAUAUAUUCUUCUUGUCAGAACCCAAUCAAGCAUUUUGCUCUCUCCUGUUUAUAAAUUGUUGUCCUACUUUAUAAUUUUGGUUAUGAUUGUCUCUGGUUCAUUUUCUCCUUUGUCAUAGGCACUGUGGCUCUGGAGACCUGGAAGCACCACUAACUGUUCUCUCGAUUUUCUGAUGCUCGGCCACAUCAACCUAAGUCAUGCUAGUUGUGAGGAGGAGUCAAGGACAGUGACACAGCCAGCCAGUCUGAGGGGUUUUCCAUCAUCCUGAAGGAGUUGCUCUAUCCUGCUUUUCACUGGAGGGGGCAUGGAUGGGUAGGUAAACACACCUGCCGUGAAGUUUCCAGUUCUAUCCUCCUGCAAGGCCUUCGGGGAUAAGUGUCUUAGAAGAUUGGUUUUCUGGAGCACAAUUGAUAAGAAUGUUGACGGAACAGGAAUUUCUAUUCUUACAGCAGAAAUAGACAUUUGUAAUAAGCUUUGGUUCACAGUCAGGAUUGCCAUUGCAACUGCAAAACAGGCAAAUUGAAUUGAAGCAACUAAAUAAACCUCAGGUUUUGGUGAAGGUAUGUCUCUCCUAUGAAACCUUAAGGCUAGUAACAAACAUUCUCAUCUGAUUGGAUGCAUGCAUAACCAUGAUAAGAAUAUGCUCCAUACAUGACAAUUCAAUACCUCUGUGAAAAACAAACUAAUGAAAACCACACAGCCUUGAAGGGAACUACAAAGAAAUAUAUUUUAUAUACCAAGUGAAAAAGAACUUCAAGGGCAUCAUACACAAUGUAGGUGUGUUAGUGGUGAAUUUCAUCCCAAACUGCCACUUUACUUUAAGUGAUACAUUUGGUCUAUGUGUGUGCGUGUGUGUGUGUGUGCAUAUUCACAAUAUACACUUAUAUACACACAUAAUUUCUAAGAGAAGACUUUGAGUGGUAGUUAAGAGCAUGGAGUCUGCCUGGCUGGCACAAAUCAUGGCUUUCCCACUUGCUGUUUGGCUUUGGGAAGUUUGAUUAACCUGUCUGUGCCUCAGUUUUCUGUUUUGUAACAUGAGAAUUACUAGUGUAUUAAAUUCAUAAGACUGUGGUGAGGAUUAAAUGGCUCCAUAAAUCUAGACAUUUAGGAUGGUGUCUGAUACGCUUUGGAAACGUUUGUCACACUUUGAUAACUACAGUGAGAUUCCUAUUAUUAUUUCUGAGACUGGGAUGUUACACUGGGACAUCGGAACAUGGAGCAGGUAUUUCCUGAGUGUGGAGACAGGAAUCGCUGACUCAGAAUAUGCUAGAAACUGAGACAUGAAAACUCAAGAAGAAAUAGAGAGUGAAUUUAAUGAGUGAGCACCAAAAGUUAGGCAACCUACCAUUAACAGGGUGUGGCCUACAACAAGAUUUAAAAAGCAAGCAAAGAUUUAUAAAGCAAGUAAAGGCCAACCACGGUGGCUCAA